ensembl:lncRNA
CUGUAAACUAGCAGCAACUGCAGGACUUGGGAAUCUACUAGAAAUGCAGACUCUUCUCUUCCCUGUGCUGUGUGCUUAGUCGCUCAGUCAUGUCUGACUCUUUGCGACCCCAUGGACUGUAGCCCUCCAAGCUCCUCUGUCCAUGGAAUUUUCCAGGCAGGAAUACUGGAGUGGGUAUUCAUGCCUGCUUCCAGGGUAUAUUCCCAACACAGGGAUCAACUUGGUGUCCUAAGUCUCCUGCACUGGCAGGUGGAUUCAUUAUCACUGAGCCACCUGGGAAGCCCCGAGUAACUAAACUUGCCAUCAGUUUGCCUGCUAAGUCGCUUCAGUCCCAUCCAACUCUUUGCAGUCCUAAGGACUGUAACCUGCCAGGCUUCUCUGUCCAUGAGAUUCUCCAGGCAGGAAUACUGGAGUGUGUUGCCAUGUCUGCCUCCAGGAUAUCUCCCCCACACAGGGAUGGAACCCACAUCUCCUGCGUUGCAGACUGAUUCUUUACCACCAGUGCCACCUGGAAAACCGCCUGGGAAGGCCGCCGUUUAAACAUUGGCUAAACUGAGCCGCAGGCGCAUUGCUGAGCGGGGCGGACUUGGGGCGGUGCCUUUAACACCCCUACCCUCCCAGCAAGGGAACAACGGAAACGGAAGCUGAGCAUGCUCUUCUCUGAGCCCCGAGGCCCGGUGGGGCAGCUGCUACAGAAGGAAGCGUUAGUGUGGGGCAAGAGGAAUGACUGUUAAGGAGACAUGCCUUCUCUCCAUUUCCAGGCUCUGUGAAAUAUGUUGCAAGGCCUAUCGGUCUGCAACAGGACAGUCCGAGCAUUGCUUGCCAUUCAGUGCUCAUGCAAAGAAAGUACAAAGACUGAGGAGAGUCAAGGUUGACAUCAGAGUCAAGUGACAAUAUGAUGAUCUCAGAGGAGCUCCUUUGCAGUUUAUGGAGGACCCUGAGCUCAUGUCAGGAGACAUCGACAUUUUAAGAGUUGUUUGUCAGUUCCUGAAGGGCUUCCCUGGUGGCUCAGAUGAUAAAGAAUCUGCUUGCAAUGCAGGAGACCUGGGUUUGAUCCCUGGGUCAGAAAGAUCCCCUGGAGAAAGGAAUGGCUGCCCACUCUAGUAUUUUUUGCCUGGAGAAUUCUAUGGACAACGGAGCCUGGUGGGGCUCCAUGGGGUGGCGAAGAGUCAGACAGGACUGAGCCACUAACACUGUCACUCCUUUCACUGCCAUUUAGGUGACCACAGUGCCUUGAGUAGAGUUCUCUGUGCUAUACAGUAGGUCCUCGUGAGUUAUACUUGGUGCCAGUAGUGCAUGGGGAGCAUCUUAGAAGGAAGUAUGGGUAAUGCUUGAGGUCCUGAGUUUCGACAUGGGGGCUUGGCAGUGAGAGAAACUGAUGAGUCUGAAAUCUCUCUUCUCAGUGAUAGACAUCAGGAGCUUCCGGGGGCCCAUCUUAGUCAUCCCUUACUCAGGACACCAGGAGCUUGUAGAAAAUAUGCAAAACCUGUGUCUCCUGGGGCUGGUCCCACAGAAACCACAGACAACUGAGGCAAGGCUGCCUUUCUGCUGAGCCUGAUAGCUUUGUCUGUAUGGCUUGACAUUCCUCUGACUCAGGGUUUUGCAAAGAUGAUCUGCAGGCAAAAUCCAUUCCAC